UUGAUUUACUUAUUAAAAUUAGGUAGCGAGGUUAAUAUUUUUUUUUUAUCACAAUGUGAUGAGACGAAAAGAGGAAUAGUAAGUUAACAGGAAGUCGCCGAUAGAAGACCUAAUGGUAUGGUCGUGGAAAAAGAUAAUCCUUCAGAUUGCAUUGUUAUGGAAGCUUAACGAAAAGGGAAGACUCAAAUCCUGGAGUAAAUUCUUGAUUUAUUUAGGUUACUUGCCCGGACUUUGUGAUAUUUCUCUUCUCCUUGUCUGAGCUUUCUUGGAGAUUUGAGAGGUAGCUGUAGUUAUGACCUUGUUCUAUUCUAGAAACAAGUUCAUUUGAGACUAACGUUUCUUUUGAAUCAAUUGUAAUACUUUAGAGGCUUGUACACGUGACAACCAGAUUUUGGGGUGUUUUGAAUUGAUUAUGAAA